AUCAACUGUCCAUGUUAGGGUUGUGGUGCGGUCAGCAGCGACUGUCCAUGUUAGGGUUGUGGUGUGGUCAGCAUCAACUGUCCAUGUUAGGGUUGUGGUGUGGUCAGCAUCAACUGUCCAUGUUAGGGGUUGCGUUGUGGUCAGCAUCAACUGUCCAUGUUAGGGUUGUGGUGUGGUCAGCAUCAACUGUCCAUGUUAGGGUUGCGGUGUGGUCAGCAUCAACUGUCCAUGUUAGGGUUGUGGUGUGGUCAGCAUCAACUGU